AUAUUUACCAUUGCCAACAGUUUUCUAAUUUUACCUCCUGCUCCUGUCAUAAAAGGAGUGCUAGAAGGAAAGUUAAAGUGACUUGUGUAGAGCAACAGGAACAUAUGCUAUUCAAUUUUCCCACAACUGCUCUUGGCUGAGAAUGACAAGCCUUAAGUCAGUGCCCAGAAGAUGGAAAAAUACAAGAAAAACACAUCCAGAAUGACUACCGAGAUACCACUUGUUGAUAUCAACUCAUAUAGUGGGUUCUAAGAUAGCUGUAGUAGAAAUCCAUAAGUCUUCAGGAAUGUAUGUGUUGAAUUUUCUAAUGACCUGCUUAUUGCUUUCUGGAAAUAAUAAUGGAACUACCAAAAAGGGCU